UGAGUAGCACAGAUGAUCGCACCUGCUUAUACCGAAAGGUCCCAGGUGAGGAAAGUCCGAGCUUCGCAGGGCAGGAUGCCGGAUAACGUCCGGUGGAGGUGACUCCCAGGCUAGUGCAACAGAAAAUAACCGCCAGCUCCGGCUGGUAAGGGUGAAACGGCGAGGUAAGAGCUCACCGCCUUUCUGGUAACAGAAAGGGCAGAUGUAAACCCCAUCCGAAGCAAGACCGAACAGAAAGCGACACGGCGGCCCGUCGUGCUUUCGGGUAGGUCGCUAGAGCCUGCUGGUAACAGCAGGACCAGAUAGAUGAUCAUCCAACGACAGAACUCGGCUUACCGUGCUGCUCAUUUC
rnacentral:RNase_P_RNA from 1 species